GUGCUUGCUUCGGCAGCACAUAUACUAAAAUUGGAACGAUACAGAGAAGAUUAGCAUGGCCCCUGCACAAGGAUGACAUGCAAAUUCAUGAAGCAUUCCAUAUUAAA
rnacentral:snRNA from 1 species